CCCUUAGAUGUUCUGGGCGGCCCGCGCACUACAAUGGCGGGUGCAGCGAGUGCCGAAGUAGAGUUUUCCGAGGUAUUCUUGCAAUGCUCGUUUUGAUGGGGAUAGACCCUUGCAACUGUUGGUUUUGAACGAGGAAUUCCUUGUAAGCAUGGUUUAUCAUCCGACGCUGAAUGCGUCCCUGCCCUUUGUACACACCGCCCGUCGCUCCUACCGAUGAGUCGUCCGGUGAAGUUCGUAGACCUCGUGAUUGCGGAUCACUGGGGGAAGCAAAAUGAACCUCGCGGUUUAGAGGAAGGAGAAGUCGUAACA
rnacentral:rRNA from 1 species